CCGCGGGGCUGGAGGGCCGCAAGCCGACCCCUCGCCACCGCCCCGCUGCUGCCCCCUCUGCCCAGCGCCCGGAGCUGGACCUCCGCUCGCGGGCUGGGGGUCUGCGUCCUGGGUGUACGAGCCGAGCAGCCUCGGAACCGACUGGACUGAGCGCCCUACUCCACAAAGAGGGAGACUGAGGCCCAAGGCGAGAGCGAUCCCCUCCGGUCCCAGCGAGAGAAAUAUUCAGAUUUUCUGACUCUUCAAGUUCCUUCAAGUUUACUAUAAAGGAUACAGACAGACAGCCAGAUGAAGAGGUUCAUUGGUGAGGUCUAGAAGAGGCCCAGGCACAGGAGCUUCUGUCCUUGAGGAACGGGGGCGCACCACCCUCCCAGCACGCUGAUGCCUUCACCAACCUGGAAGCUCUUCACGUGUGGAGGAUUCUUGCUAUAAUCCUCUUUUUCAUUGCUGGCAUUGGUAAUUUAUGUUUUCUCCUUUUCCUCGAUUGGUAUUGCCAGAGAUUGGCAUUAUCUAUUUUAUCAGUCUUCACAGAGAGCCAACUUUUGGCUUUCUUGAUUUUCUCUAUUGUACAUUCAUCCGUUAUUUCAUUGAUUUCUUCUCUCUUGACUUUCUUUGGGUUUUGUUCUUUUUCUAGUUUAUAUAAAAGGAAGCUAGUAUUAUUGAUUUUCAGCCUCUAUUCCACUCUAAUACAGGCGUUGAAGGCUAUAAAUUCCCUAUAACCACUCUUUUUCUUGAUAUGUUAUAUCCUUAUGCUUAUCCAGUUCAAAAUGUAUUCUAAUUUUCAUUGUCAUUUCUUAUUUGAUUCAUAGUUUAUUUAGAAAUGUAUCGCUUGAUUUCCAAUGUCUGUAAUUUCCUAGUUAUCUCAUGCUGUUUAGCGUAAUUCCACUAUGGUAAGAUAUACACUGAACAAUUUCAGUCUUUUGAAAUGUGUUGAAGUUUGU